ensembl:lncRNA
CCAGAUCUUAGGCGAAUAUUCCUCUUUCCUUCAGCUUCUCCAGCUUCCCCAUUUCUUCUUUUGUUUCUCAAACAUCUCAUCACCUUUGUGACCAAUUAUCUGAAUUAAAUCUCUUCUGUUGAACCCUUGGCACGUCUCUGUGUGUCUGAUGAGACCUUGUCUAAUACAGGGCUUGGGAUCAGGAGGGGGUUUGAAGAUUGAGAUGAUGGUCUGCAGCUUUGACCUUGCGCACAGGGACGGCCUUAAUGCCAGUGGAAAAUGGAGACGCAGUGGUUAGUCUAAAGCAGCAGCAUCACAAUUCUGUAACUGUCACCACCUGUGGUUGCCUGAGACGGAGGACAUACUGAAAGGAAAGCUUUGGGAGAGCGAGAAGCUGAUGCACUUGACCGCUAAGGAUCCUUGAAGUUAAAUGAAAGACAGCCUGGUGUGUGGACUGCCACUUGCCCAGCACCUACACCAGACACCCUUCACUGAUGACCGCACUCUCCUCUAAGCCCAACAGCAAUCCUUCUCAACUCAGCACCGCUGGCAGCUUCUAGUGACCAACUUGGCAAGGAGAUGAAACCCACUUGCCAUCCUGAGUUAGGUUUGGAUGGAAAACAGCAAGCCAGAGUGGUCAGUGAAGUGAGGGCUUUGAGAACUAAGGGCAGCAUGAGGGUCCCAUGAGAGGGGGAGUGAUGGAUAGUAAGUAAGGAAGGACCCAUGGAGCAUGUGCUCUGUGUGGGCACUGUUUCCAGCAGGGGCAGACUAAGUUGGAUAGAAGUUGUGUAAGUCAGAGUUCUUGCUUACCAACAAUAGAGUUCAUCAACCAAAAAGGAAUGCAGAGGUGUCACUCGAAGAAUCUCCAAGAUGGUCAGAAACUUGGUUUGGAGCCUACACAGCUGAAUGACACUUAAAUUAUACCAUGGAACCACCCCAAGGGAGAUGCUCCUGCUCCAGCCACAAUACAGCACUACAGACAGAACCAUCAACCCUGAGCCCCGAAGCCCUUCGAGGAGUGGUUACUGCUGCCUUUAAAGCUGGGUCACCAGGUCCACUCACCACGAUGAACCCCCAUCAGGAUCCACCUUCUAACCCAACUUCAGCUCUGCAUCAGAUUGCAUCAGCUUGACUGAGACCAGGUCACAUGCCUGUGCCCAGCUGCAAGGCAGGCUGGGAAAGCAAGUUUCUGGCUUCACAGAAGUGAGAAUCCUAAGAAGCUGUAUUGGUUAUCUAUUAUUGCAUAACAAAUUGCCCUAAAACAUGAUGGCCUCCAUCAACAAUGUUCCUUCUUACCUCUCAGUUUCUUUGGGUGGGGGACUUACUCAGGGCAAAGUAGGGAUGGCUUGUCUCUGCUCCCCAAUGUCUGGGGCCUCAGCCAGUAGCGUCAAAGCCUGGGGGCCAGAAUCAUCUGAAGACACAUUGCUUACGUGUCUGUGUGUGUUGGCUGUCUGCAAAGACCUUAGCUGGGCUGAUGGCUGCACACCCACAUGUGGCCUCUCCAGUGUGGCUUGGGCUUCCUCACAACACGGAGGCUGGGUCCCCCAGGCAAGCAUCCCCACAGAAAGCAGUCAGAGCCCUGUCUUUUUACAACCCAGGCUUGCAAGUGACGUGGCUUCAUCGCUUGCUCCUACUCCAUUGAUCAGAGCAGUCACAGCCUCCACCCAGACUCGACAGGAAGGAUCACAGAGCCCACCUCUCCAUGAAAGGAAUGACAGUAAUAAGUAAUAAGAAUAUAUGGGAUGGUUUCACUCUAUCAGCAUGAGCAUCUUUGGAAAAUCCAAUUUGUCAUGGGGGACAAUUCUGCAAACCGAGGAAGGGUGUGCUAAUGUGCUAGGAGACCAGAAGCAUGAUAAGUGUCCUCCACUGUCUAUUUCAGAUUGCCAGUGCUGGCCACAUGCUCCC